GACGAACGCUGGCGGCGUGCUUAACACAUGCAAGUCGAACGAAGAGCGAUGGAAGCUUGCUUCUAUCAAUCUUAGUGGCGCACGGGUGAGUAACGCGGAAUCAACCUGCCCUUCAGAGGGGGACAACAGUUGGAAACGACUGCUAAUACCGCAUACGAUCUAACCUCGGCAUCGAGGAAAGAUGAAAGGUGGCCUCUAUGUAUAAGCUAUCACUGAAGGAGGGGAUUGCGGCUGAUUAGCUAGUUGGAUGGGUAACGGCCCACCAAGGCGAUGAUUAGUAGCCGGUGUGGGAGGAUGAACGGCCACAUUGGGACUGAGACACGGCCCAGACUCCUACGGGAGGCAGCAGUGGGGAAUCUUCCGCAAUGGACGAAAGUCUGACGGAGCAACGCCGCGUGAGUGAUGACGGCCUUCGGGUUGUAAAGCUCUGUUAAUCGGGACGAAAGGCCUUCUUGCGAAUAGUGAGAAGGAUUGACGGUACCGGAAUAGAAAGCCACGGCUAACUACGUG
rnacentral:rRNA from 1 species